rnacentral:misc_RNA from 1 species
GAUGAAGAAAGUAGCGAAAUGCGAUACUUUGUGUGAAUUGCAGAAUCCCGUGAACCAUCGAGUCUUUGAACGCAAGUUGCGCCCGAAGCCAUUAGGCCGAGGGCACGCCUGCCUAGGCGUCACACGUCGUUGCCCCCCCAUCUACUCCUUCGGGAUUGCGGGGGGCGGAUGAUGGCCUCCCGUGCGCCUCGUCGCGCGGUUGGCAUAAAUGCCAAGUCCUCGGCGACACACGCCACGACAAUCGGUGGUUGCGAAACCUCGGUUGCCCGUCGUGUGCGGUCGUCGCGCAUCGAGGGCUCGAAAAAAUUGCCGGGCUCCGGCUCGGCUUUCAACGCGACCCCAGGUCAGGCGGGGUUACCCGCUGAAUUUAAGCAUAUCAAUAAGCGGAGGA